UACGUAGGUGGCGAGCGUUGUCCGGAUUCAUUGGGCGUAAAGGGCGCGUAGGCGGCGGGGUAAGUCGGGUGUGAAAUCUCAGAGCUCAACUCUGAAACUGCACUCGAUACUGCUCUGCUUGAGGACUGGAGAGGAGACUGGAAUUCACGGUGUAGCAGUGAAAUGCGUAGAUAUCGUGAGGAAGACCAGUGGCGAAGGCGGGUCUCUGGACAGUUCCGUGACGCUGAGG
rnacentral:rRNA from 1 species